rnacentral:rRNA from 1 species
UGAGGAAUAUUGGUCAAUGGACGAAACUCUGAACCAGCCAUCCCGCGUGCAGGAUGACGGCCCUAUGGGUUGUAAACUGCUUUUGUUUGCCAAGAAUGGUACCUACGUGUAGGUAUUUGACGGUAGCAAAUGAAUAAGGACCGGCUAACUCCGUGCCAGCAGCCGCGGUAAUACGGAGGGUCCAAGCGUUAUCCGGAUUCAUUGGGUUUAAAGGGUGCGCAGGCGGGCUUGUAAGUCAGUGGUGAAAUCUUGCCGCUUAACGGUAAAACUGCCAUUGAUACUGCAAGUCUUGAAUAUGGUUGAGGUAGGCGGAAUGUGUUGUGUAGCGGUGAAAUGCAUAGAUAUGACACAGAACGCCGAUUGCGAAGGCAGCUUACUAAGCCAUUAUUGACGCUGAGGCACGAAAGCGUGGGGAGCGAACAGGAUUAGAUACCCUGGUA